AUUGAACGCUGGCGGAAUGCUUUACACAUGCAAGUCGAACGGUAGAGGGGGCAACCCCUCGAGAGUGGCGAACGGGUGAGUAAUAUAUCGGAACGUGCCCAGUCGUGGGGGAUAACGUAGCGAAAGUUACGCUAAUACCGCAUACGAUCUAAGGAUGAAAGCGGGGGAUCGCAAGACCUCGCGCGAUUGGAGCGGCCGAUAUCAGAUUAGGUAGUUGGUGGGGUAAAGGCUCACCAAGCCAACGAUCUGUAGCUGGUCUGAGAGGACGACCAGCCACACUGGAGCUGAGACACGGUCCAGACUCCUACGGGAGGCAGCAGUGGGGAAUUUUGGACAAUGGACGCAAGUCUGAUCCAGCCAUUCCGCGUGCAGGAUGAAGGCCCUCGGGUUGUAAACUGCUUUUGUACGGAACGAAAAGGUCUCUCUUAAUACGGGGGACUCAUGACGGUGCCGUAAGAAUAAGCACCGGCUAACUACGUGCCAGCCGCCGCGGUAA
rnacentral:rRNA from 1 species